UAUAAUAAUGAUUYUUUGGAUUCUUUCUUUCUUUUUUUCUUUUUUUUUAGUAGGGACUUCCUGGCUGUAAAGGAGAAAAGGGUGAAAGAGGAGAAUGUGGAACACCAGGGCUAAAAGGGGAGAGAGGACUAGAAGGUCCAUUUUUCCCUAGAGGACCUCGGGGACCUCAGAAAUUAAACUGUUCAUGCAGUAUGAUCCAUUUUGGGUGUUUUAAAAUAUC
rnacentral:lncRNA from 1 species